rnacentral:tRNA from 1 species
GGGCUUGUAGCUCAAUGGUAGAGCACUUGCCUAGCAUGUGUGAGGCACUGAGUUCAAUCCUCAGCACCA